ensembl:lncRNA
GGGUAUUUUCGGCGACAGUUGGAAAGUCAAGUAAUAAACAGAUCUGGUCCAUUCCUGUCUAAAGACCCUUUGAGAAUAAUCUCAACCUGAGCCAUUUAUUGGCUUUAAUAAUGAGAAAAUUUUUGGCAAAUGUUUUGAAGAAUGGCAUUCAAAUCUGACUGUUAACAGCCUAUGACACGUGGGCAAGAUCUGUUUGAGUUCACAGUUCCUCUCAUCAUUUUGGAGGGCUGGGAGCACAAAUUUCAACAUAUAGCAUUUUAAGAAAAAGGCAUUCAAGAUUUUAAAGAAAGAAGAUACUAACUGUAUUUGCAAAAGUGCUACCUGUGUUCAAAAUACCUUCAGGGGGUUGCAUUUAAUCAG